rfam:Acinetobacter populi strain PBJ7 Contig5, whole genome shotgun sequence.
CUUUGCGGUAGAACGGGAGGGGGACGCUUCGUGCGUGCUGGUUCCUAUAUGCCCAGUCUGUCAACCCCCUUUCGUUCUGCCACCAUC